UAUAAUAGUUAAUUCUCUCUAUUGCUAUAGGAUCAUUGAAUUUUUCAUUGAGUUACAAGCAGGAUGUUAAAUUUGCGGAAACUGGAAUACGUAGCCUCGGAUUCAAGCUUUUUAUCAAUUGCGACUGUAAAGUGAAACUAAUCAGAUCGAGUUCUUUAAUAGUAGAAGAAGAAGAAGAAAAAAAAAAAGAAUGAGAAACAGGAAAAAUUUAUUCUGAAUUUCAAAGUAUUUGAUAAUGGAAGAAACAAGGAUUUAAAUCAUUAUUUGGUAUUUUUUAUAGCAUUAUAGCAUAUUAAUCUGAUAAAGUCUGCGGAUCUGAUUGCAACGAAGCAAUUAUUGUCAUGCGAAUGCAUUAUGAAGGAACUAGUCAAAAACUUUAUUAGAAUAUCUAAGCAUGAAAAGAGAAUUAUGACUUAUACAAAAUUAUGAAAAUGAUGGCCUCAAGAAUAUACAGAGAUAACAAAGUUAUCAUUUGAUGGCGAUCUACGAUGGGCAUAUACAUUAAAUAUUUUCAAA